rnacentral:rRNA from 1 species
GUACAAGCAGUGGGAGCACAGGUUUACCUGUGUGACUGCGUACCUUUUGUAUAAUGGGUCAGCGACUUAUAUUCUGUAGCAAGGUUAACCGCAUAGGGGAGCCGGAGGGAAACCGAGUCUUAAUUGGGCGUUAAGUUGCAGGGUAUAGACCCGAAACCCGGUGAUCUAGCCAUGGGCAGGUUGAAGGUUGGGUAACACUAACUGGAGGACCGAACCGACUAAUGUUGAAAAAUUAGCGGAUGACCUGUGGCUGGGGGUGAAAGGCCAAUCAAACCGGGAGAUAGCUGGUUCUCCCCGAAAGCUAUUUAGGUAGCGCCUCGUGAAUUCAUCUCCGGGGGUAGAGCACUGUUUCGGCUAGGGGGCCAUCCCGGCUUACCAACCCGAUGCAAACUGCGAAUACCGGAGAAUGUUAUCACGGGAGACACACGGCGGGUGCUAACGUCCGUCGUGAAGAGGGAAACAACCCAGACCGCCAGCUAAGGUCCCAAAGUCAUGGUUAAGUGGGAAACGAUGUGGGAAGGCCCAGACAGCCAGGAUGUUGGCUUAGAAGCAGCCAUCAUUUAAAGAAAGCGUAAUAGCUCACUGGUCGAGUCGGCCUGCGCGGAAGAUGUAACGGGGCUAAACCAU